rnacentral:lncRNA from 1 species
GAGAGAGAGGAAGGAGGAAGAGAGAGGAUGAUAUGGAGGGAUGGAGAGAGAGGAUGACAGAGGAAGAGGAGGUGAAAGAUGGAACAGAACCAUGUGGCUUGGAGGAGUAGCAAGUAACAAGGGAUUUCCUAGCUGGGGAACAGAGCAGUGUAGUGGACUAUCUGCAGCCUGGUGGUCCUUGGCGGUUGGUAUAGCCAACCGCCAGGGUGGUCGGUCUAUUGAACUCACUCAAGUGGUAGCUCCAGGUGUUCUCAGAAGGGACAGCUGCUGGGCAGCUUAGCAAAGACAGCAGAGGUAUGGGCACCUGCUAGUCUCAGAGCCUAGCCAGAACUAGUGUGGUUUUCUAAAAUUACAUGGAAUGCAUGGGUGCACCUCUCCCCAAACCAAAUAAAUGUUUUUUUUUCGUUUUUUUGUUUGUUUGUUUGUUUGUUUGUUUGUUUUCAAAAUAAAGGAUCAGAAUGAAGCCUACUCGAUAGACUCAGAGAACUAUGAGUCCUCCAGUGGAAGAAUAGAAGUAAAACACAGCUGGACAGCUCUGUGCUGAAGGCUGGCCUACGCCAUCUCACUUAACCCUUACCUCCAUGUCCCUGCGCUGUUACAUCCCAGCCAUCACUGUCAUCGUCCUCAUACAAAUGAGGGAAGCAGAGCCAGCAGCUUGUAAGUGAUAGGAAGUCGUUCCUCAGCCUUCUGGAGGUUACAAAGCUCAAGAUCAAGUGUGAAGAGGCGAGUGAGCUCUCUGUGCCCCUUCACAAGGACCAAGCCACUAACCAAAGGCCUCAUCUCCAAAUGCCAUCACAGGGUAAUGGCGUUCCAACUCACGGAUCUGAGAGGCACACAAAUACUGAACGUACAGCUAACGUCACUCUCUCACAGUUGGUUUUGCCGGGUGUCCUGAGUCAGGUUGAUAAUGAUAGGCAAUAACAAAGAUAGUCACAUGACAUCAGUAUUCCCCACCCCACCCCACCCCACUUGAUUAUAAACUCCAAGAGGGAAGGCAACACUGUUUCCUGUUUCCCUUCUGUUCCUGGCUCACUGCAGUGUGUACUUAUGCAGGGGCAGGGGGGGGACAUCUGUGUAUCUGUGGGGGAAGGCUGAGGAUUUCUCAGUCACAUCCACGGAAUAACAGCAAGAUGGCUAGUUUAUAGAUGUCUGUCAGAGAAGACAAUAGGAUAGUUUGUUGUCUGUGUCUGGCUGAGACUCCAGGCUGUACUGCCUGCUCAGAUCCACCCCCUACGCCCACGCCAUGUCAUUUGGGUACCCAGGAAUCCCCACAUGGGGCUGCAUUUCUCCUGUUCUGUGCCUGGGUGCUUAUUUGCGCUCUCCGUGCCUUAACACUCAUUGCUGUACCAGGGCUGCUUCUAAAUGAACCUGCAGGUGUGAGCUGCAGUCGGCACUGUGAGUUGCACAGAAGACAUUUGGUAAUGAAUGGAAAUACGAAAACCUGCUUUAGCACUCAGAACUAUGCUUCUCUCUGAAGUGGCUAUAACGUCACCUGUAAACAUUUUUGUUUCUUUUUAAAUAGACUCCUUUAGUAAAAGUAAGUUAAGGUGUAUGUAGUCUAGGCUAAUGAUCCUAGGUUCCAAAGGAAUGGUCUUAUAUACAUUGUUUGUUUCGGUGUUCAUGCGAACUUGUGUCUGUGUAGACUAUAUCUAACGUAAGACAAGGACUCAUGUAGAAGCUGGCAGUAAACUUUCUGUGCACCUAAGGAUGACCCAGAACUCCUGCUCCUCUUGUGUCUCCACCACUGCCAAGUGCUGGGAUGGCAACUGCAUCCCAUCAAGCCCAGCUUUGCUCCCGGGAAGUUUCCUGAAGUGUGAUCUCUCCUGUGAGUCAGUAAAGAAUGCUCUGAGGGUCACUCUGAGUCCCCCUACAUCUAUUCUUUCUAUCCUUUUGAUGGAUUUUAAAGCAACCUGCCCUCUACUUUAAAUAUCCCCUUGCUUGGUGUUUUUAGGUUUGCUUCCCAGAUGGUCUGUGACUCACUCAUCCAGCAGUUCCUCAUCUCUCGGGCGCCUCCUUCUCUCUCAGGCUCCUCCUUCUCUCUCAGGCUCCUCCUUCUCUCUCAGGCUCCUCCUCUCUCAGGCUUCUACUGGUCUCUCAGGUUCCUCCUUCUCUCUCAAGCUCCUCCUUCCCUCUCAGGCUCCUCCUUUUCUCUCAGGCUCCUCCUUUUCUCUCAGGCUCCUCCUUCUCUCUUAGGCUCCUCCUUCUCUCUUAUGAUCCUCCUCCUCUCUCAGGUGCCUCCUUGUCUCUUGAGCUCCUCCUAGACUCUCAGGCUCCUCCUCUCUCAGUCUCCUCCUGUUUUACUUUUAGACCUCAUGCUCAUUUCUUUUAUCUUCCAGGUUCUCUGGGAGCUAUGGGGUGUGGAGUUUCAGACAUUCCAGCCCAUCCAGGUGGACCGUGAUGAUUUAACUUCAAAGCAAGAGUGUAGUUGGUGCCCACUGCACUAAGCAGAUAUGGUGGAUCGGAACCAUUGCCUUCCCUCAGCAUGCAGACUGACCCGGAAAGAAUCUUGUAUUCGUUAGGUAAUGUCUAAUAUAGGCUUUUAAGAAACUAAGCAGUUACAUCAUACUCACAAGGGCCAUAAAGUAAAAAUAACUCGCACUGGAGAAACAAAAUGUGGUCUAAGGACACAAUGAGGUAUUAUCUACUUAUAAAGGAUAGAUUAUAUAUAAUUCUGCUUGUAUGAAACGUCGAGAACAGGUAAAUUCCCAGGACAGAAAGUAACUACAGGCCACCAGGGACUAUGGAGAAAUGAGCUGGUAGCAUGGCAUUUAAUAGUCACGA